AUAGCGUAUAUUAAAGUUGUUGCAGUUAAAAAGCUCGUAGUUGGAUUUCAAGGGUCGCAAGGUGGAUAACACCAUUGCACUCUACCAGUCUUUGACUGUUACUGUGAGAAAAUUAGAGUGUUUCAAGCAGGCUGUUGCAGGAAUACAUUAGCAUGGAAUAACGAAUGUGUCUAGAAUCUUGGUUAAUUCUAGAUUACGAUUAAUAGGGACAGUUGGGGGCAUUAGUAUUUAAUUGUCAGAGGUGAAAUUCUUGGAUUUGUUAAAGACUAACGUAUG
rnacentral:rRNA from 1 species